UGGGGAAUCUUGCGCAAUGGACGAAAGUCUGACGCAGCCACGCCGCGUGAGUGAAGAAGGCCUUCGGGUUGUAAAGCUCUGUCGCCCGGGACGAACAUCCUUAUCGUUAAUAGCGGUAAGGACUGACGGUACCGGGAAAGGAAGCACCGGCUAACUCUGUGCCAGCAGCCGCGGUAAUACAGAGGGUGCAAGCGUUGCUCGGAAUCAUUGGGCGUAAAGGGCAGGUAGGUGGUCUCAUUUGUCUGGGGUGAAAGCCUUGGGCUUAACCCAAGAAGUGCCUCGGAAACGGUGAGACUUGAGUACUGGAGAGGGUCGUGGAAUUCCCGGUGUAGCGGUGAAAUGCGUAGAGAUCGGGAGGAACACCAGCGGCGAAGGCGGCGACCUGGACAGUUACUGACACUCAACUGCGAAAGCGUGGGGAGCAAACAGGAUUAGAUACCCAUGUAGUCCCUGAGCGGGCUGGCAAGGCGCAU
rnacentral:rRNA from 1 species